GAUGAACGCUGGCGGCGUGCCUAAUACAUGCAAGUCGAGCGAACAGACGAGGAGCUUGCUCCUUUGACGUUAGCGGCGGACGGGUGAGUAACACGUGGAUAACCUACCUAUAAGACUGGGAUAACUUCGAGAAACCGGAGCUAAUACCGGAUAACAUGUUGAACCACAUGGGUCAACAGUGAGAGACGGUCUUGCUGUCACUUAUAGAUGGAUCCGCGCCGCAUUAGCUAGUUGGUAAGGUAACGGCUUACCAAGGCAACGAUGCGUGGCCGACCGGAGAGGGUGAUCGGCCACACUGGAACGGAGACGCGGUCCAGACUCCUACGGGAGGCAGCAGUAGGGAAUGUUACGCAGUGGGCGAAAGCAUUACGGAGUAACGCCACGUGUGAGAAGAAGGCCUUGCGUGCGUAAAACUCUGUUAUUAGGGAAGAACAAAUGUGUAAGGAACUAAGCACGGAUUGACGGUACCUGAUCAGAAAGCACCGGCUAACUACGUG
rnacentral:rRNA from 1 species